rnacentral:lncRNA from 1 species
CAAAGAUUUAAGAGAAAAAAACAAAAAACAACACAAAUCCCAGUUUGAAAUUGGUUGAGAGAAUAAAUCUGACUGCUCUCAACAACCAGAACAAUAAAGCAUCAUAAGUAAAAGUGCUAUUCUAAAAGCUAAGCUAAGGAAAUGUGGCUUACUCUGUCAUUUUGCUGUGAUUCUCUGACAGGCUAUUGCUAUCUUUAUUUCCUGUUGUACUAUGGAUUGUAUCUUUAAUUAACAGCUUUAUAAUCUAAGUUAUUAAUUGCAUCAAUCUCCAAAUAAGAAAGAGAAGUUAAAGCCGUAUGUAAACAGUGUCAAAGCAUAACAACAUCUAAGAUCAACAGUAGAAUGGGAGACUAAUCUCAGUCUCUGUUAGAGGUACUGUUAUAUAAAAUGAACAUUUACUGAAUCUGAGCUUAUUCAUAAGGUUAUUCGUAUUUAACAGUAUUUUCUUCUUUGUGCAGAAAGGGUAGAACUAUCUCAUAGAGCACAAUGGAAAACAUCAACUCUUCAGAGAUUAAAGGAAUUUAUCUUCACAACAUUGACAUCUUUGUAACAAAAAAAACAAGAGGUCAUUGUUCUGUGACUACACAAGAGACAUUUUAAUAAGCAGCAAAACCAAACCAACCAACCAAAUCCAAACCAAACCCCACUUUAAAAAAAACUUAACUUGGUAAAAUAGAGUUUCCAGGAUACCUUGUAAUUAUGCACUAGUAACUCUUGCACCAAACAGAUUGACAGAUUGCUGCAUAAGAUUGCAUAUGAUCCUGUCUGCAAAGAUCUCUUUGCUGAAACAUGUCUCAUGUCUCUGCAAUUUAAAUAAGUAGAGAAACUGCAGGAAAUCUAACUAACCUGGAGAACACAGGCUGAGAACAUAAGAUAAUCUUGUCUUCAGUCAUGCUCUGAAGUACAGCUGAAGACCACAAGCAUUUUGGGAAGUAACCACAUGAAUGUUACUGCUUGACUUUCUAAAGCAUUUUAGGAAGCUUCAACACCACACGGUUUCA